rnacentral:rRNA from 1 species
UACGAACUGUGCGAACGUUAUUCGGAAUCACUGGGCUUAAAGGGUGCGUAGGCGGCUGCCUAAGUCAGGUGUGAAAUCUCCCGGCUCAACCGGGAAACUGCGCUUGAUACUGGGCGGCUCGAGUGAGGUAGGGGUGUGUGGAACUUCCGGUGGAGCGGUGAAAUGUGUAGAUAUCGGAAGGAACGCCAGCAGCGAAAGCGGCACACUGGGCCUUUUCUGACGCUGAGGCACGAAAAGCCAGGGGAGCGAACGGG